CGGGGGGGGAGUGCAACUACUUGUGGCUGGCACUCACCAAAUGAGGCGGUGGAACGGGAGCCUCAUUUCUCUGCUAGGGCUUAGGAGUCCUAAGAGAGCCAAUAGGGAUUUAGGGUCAUUUAGUAAAACCGGCUAAGCAAAUUUUUAUUGCUUAUUCAGUAAUUGUAGCGCCGAUUUUAAAAAUCUUGACAACAAUAGCAAAAAAACAACUCCAACAAACAGCUCAACUCAAUCAUAAAAAUUCUUUUACAGGUCUCUUUGAACAAUGACAAUUUUGUGAUCUUUAAAAACAUUUUCCGAGUUUGUGAGGACUUAGUGUACGAGAAAUUUUCGCUUGGCUAGUGAAUUACGUGAAAGUUUUAAAUACAAUGAUUCUAUACAAAAACUUUAUUCAGAAAGUCGUUGGACGUUUUUGUGUGAACUUAAGUAGUGUAUGAAAAAACUUGAACAUAAACAGUUAAGAUUAUGGAAAGAAACUUUUACUAAUAUCCUGUUUAUUCAUCACAAAUUGGAAUGAGAAAUAACUAAAAUGCUUCUGUUUGAUUUCAAAGAUUUUUGUCUUAUAUUUGGCUUUAGAAGGAAAGCGCUAGUUGAAAUUGUUGUAGCAUAUGUAAUAGAGUACGUGAGACUUCUUCUAAUACCUGUUCUGAUAAGAUCGACAGAGGAUUGAACAUUGGAGUGAAUAUUAAAUCAGCAGUGUUUAAACGAUAAGUGAUUAAUUACACUGCGCAAUACUUAUUAAUUUGUGAACACAGAUAACAAAGCAGUAACAGUUUAUAUAGUGUACUAAAAGUGUAAAAGAUCUGUUUUACAAUUUGUCUUAGACUGUUUCGUGAUUAUGUGUUAGCCUCGGUACAUUUUCUUCGGCUUAAUGUGAACUUUUUAAUGGACUAUGAUUGAUUGUACAGCUUUAAUUAAACUUCAAAAUAACAAGUAUGAGACAAUGAAAUCUCUCAAUGGAGUAGUAUACAAACAGUUUUAAUAUAAAUGGAAUGACUGUGCCAUUCUGCAGUGUUUAUGCAAUGGGCUUUCUUACAAUACAUCACCAAAAGACAGUAUCUUUAAUAAAAAUUAUGUUGAUUGUUAUGAUUUUCUCAGUAUAUUUCAUGCUGACUAAUUGGCAUAAUGCAGUCCUAGACUUCUUUGCGGCUUCAUUCAAUCAAUCAUCAGUGACUAUCUGAUUGCACAGUCUCAAUCGUAUUAUGGACUAACACCAAAAUUGUGAUCUCUCUCAGGAUUAUUCAUUUGUACUGGACUAAGAACUUUUCACUAUAGUACAUUGAAGUGCAUCUUAGACUCGCAGUGCUAAAACUAUACGUGACUAAUUAUACUUCGUAAUAUUAAUUUGUGGACAUAAAAAACAAAGUGGUAUUUUAUACAGAGUGUUAAAAGUGAAAAAGAACGAAUUUGAAAUUUUUCUAUAACUAUUUAAUGCUGACUAGUUGUCAUAAUGAAGACCAAACUUCUUUGCGACUUUAUUCAGUCAUCAGUGACUAUCUGAUUGCCCAGUCUCAAUCGUAUUAUUGAGUAACACCAAAAUUGUGAUCUCUCUCAGGAUUAUUCAUUUGUACUGGACUAAGAAUUUUUCACUAUAGUACAUUGAAGUGCAUCCUAGACUUACAGUGCUAAAACUAUACGUGACUAAUUAUACUUCGUAAUAUUAAUUUGUGGACAUAAAAAACAAAGUGGUAUAAUAAUAUACAGAGUGUUAAAAGUGAAAAAGAACUAAUUUGAAAUUUUUCUAUGACUAUUUAAUGCUGACUAGCUGUCAUAAUGAAGUCAAAACUUCUUUGCGACUUUAUUCAGUCAUCAGUGACUAUCUGAUUGCACAGUCUCAAUCGUAUUAUGGACUAGCAUAAAAAAUGUGAUCUGAUCUCUCUCAGGAUAACAGCUUAAGCUAUAUUCAUUUGUACUGGACUAAGUACUUUUCACUAUAGUACAUUGAAGUGCAUCUUAGACUUACAGUGCUAAAACUAUACGUGACUAAUUAUACUUCGUAAUAUUAAUUUGUGGACAUAGAAGACAAAGUGGUAUUUUAUACAGAGUGUUAAAAGUGUAAAAGAACUAAUUUGAAAUUUUUCUAUGACUAUUUAAUGCUGACUAGCUGUCAUAAUGAAGUCAAAACUUCUUUGCGACUUUAUUCAGUCAUCAGUGACUAUCUGAUUGCACAGUCUCAAUCGUAUUAUGGACUAGCAUAAAAAAUGUGAUCUGAUCUCUCUCAGGAUAACAGCUUAAGCUAUAUUCAUUUGUACUGGACUAAGUACUUUUCACUAUAGUACAUUGAAGUGCAUCUUAGACUUACAGUGCUAAAACUAUACGUGACUAAUUAUACUUCGUAAUAUUAAUUUGUGGACAUAAAAAACAAAGUGGUAUAAUAAUAUACAGAGUGUUAAAAGUGAAAAAGAACUAAUUUGAAAUUUUUCUAUGACUAUUUAAUGCUGACUAGUUGUCAUAAUGAAGACCGAACUUCUUUGCGACUUUAUUCAGUCAUCAGUGACUAUCUGAUUGCACAGUCUCAAUCGUAUUAUGGACUAACAUAAAAAAUGUGAUCUCUCUCAGGAUAAAAGUUUAAGCUAUAUUCAUUUGUACUGGACUAAGAACUUUUCACUAUCGUACAUUGAAGUGCAUCUUAGACUUACAGUGCUAAAACUAUACGUGACUAAUUAUACUUCGUAAUAUUAAUUUGUGGACAUAAAAAACAAAGUGGUAUAAUAAUAUACAGAGUGUUAAAAGUGAAAAAGAACUAAUUUGAAUUUUUUCUGGUACUAUUUCAUGCUGACUAGCUGUCAUAAUGAAGUCGAAACUUCUUUGCGACUUUAUUCAGUCAUCAGUGACUUUCUGAUUGCACAGUCUCAAUCGUAUUAUGGACUAACAUCAAAAAUGUGAUCUCUCUCAGGAUAAAAGUUUAAGCUAUAUUCAUUUGUACUGGACUAAGAACUUUUCACUAUCGUACAUUGUAGUGCAUCUUAGACUUAUUGUGCUAAAACUAUACGUGACUAAUUAUACUUCGUAAUAUUAAUUUGUGGACAUAGAAAACAAAGUGGUAUAAUAAUAUACAGAGUGUUAAAAGUGAAAAAGAACUAAUUUGAAUUUUUUCUAUGACUAUUUAAUGCUGACUAGUUGUCAUAAUGAAGACCAAACUUCUUUGCGAAUUUAUUCAGUCAUCAGUGACUAUUUGAUUGCACAGUCUCAAUCAUAUUAUGGACUAACACCAAAAUUGUAAUCUCUCUCAGGAUUACAGUUUAAGCUAUAUUCAUUUCUACUGGACUAAGAACUUUUCACUAUUGUAUAUUGUAGUGCAUCUUAGAAUUACAGUGCUAAUAAAACUAUACGUGACUAAUUAUACUUCGUAAUAUUAAUUUGUGAACAUAGAAAACAAAGUGGUAUAACAAUAUACAGAGUGUUAAAAGUGAAAAGGAACUAAUUAGAAAUUUUUCUAUGACUAUUUAAUGCUGACUAAUUGUCUUAAUGAAUUAGCUUAAGCUAUUAUAUACUCAUCUUUAAUGGACUAAGAACUUUUCACUAUCGCACAUUGUAGUGCAUCUUAGACUCGCAGUGCUAAAACUAUAAGUGACCAAUUAUGCUUCAUAAUAUGAAUUUGUGGACACAGAAAACAAAGCGGUAUAAUAAUAUACAGAGUGCUAAAAGUGAAAAAAGAACUAAUUUACAUUUGUUCGAAGCCUACUUACUGGAAGUCUAAAAGAAUAACGAAUUAGUGAUAUAUAUUUGAGCCAGUAUCUGAAUCUAAAUGGAUUGGAAAAAAGCUUGUCUCUACGCCUAUCUAGCCUUGUGAAAAAUAAUUACAUCUCUAGACUACUGAUGAUAACUACUUUGGACUGUUCGAGCUAUACUGCUGAUUUUCUAUCAUCGUUUCAUCACGUAAGGAGUGAACUGCUGCGUGAAUAUGGACCAGACUACGAAGGUAGCGCAGUUAAUCAUCAGCAUCUGACUUUUGCGUUCCGUUGCUUCCCCCUGGGAGAUGGCGGGCUCGCAGAAGCCAAGCAUUGACUUCCAGGAUGCGUCGCUGCCGAGCAUCGUAGCCACAAUAGUUGAUAACGACCUGAACCGUGACCGCUAGCGCGGUGUUCUCCUCCUCGGCAGGUACCAGCCGAAACAAUCGUGACAAUGAGCACCGGUGUCAGACGGAAGGUAAGCCACCUCGACGGUCCCUGCCCCAUAGGACGGGCUCGCUAAGCGGCGAAAUCACAUCUCAAGAACGGAUCGCCGAGAUCGGUGCCUCCACGCUCAAAUUAGUCAUUCGCCAGGACGCCGAUUACCUCUAGAGCAGAGAAAGCUAUGCCGCGCGUAAUGCACGGGAAGCGCCCCCGUCUCCAGGCCCCAGUGUCGCAGCCCGGCGACAAAAAACAUCGUUCUGGAUUCGAACGGUCGAGUCAGAUAAAUUCAAUUGCAGUUUUACUCCGAUUUUGAUAUUCGAAGUCACACAACGCUAAAUAAUUAUAAUGGGGGAAUAGUUAUACUUUCCUGAGUUUUUAAUGUCCUUCUUAAUAAAUUUAAACAGGUGUUUGAAAAUGUCUUAUUUAUAUAAUAUGUUACAAAAACUAUGUGAUUUUUUAAUGUUUUUUUUUCAUUACGAAGUCGUAUAAGAUUGUAUCUAGUCUAAACCUAGCAGCUCUCACAAGUAUCCUUGAUAUUUUCAUAAAUGCCAGGAAACUGUAACUUACCUAAAAAUAUUUUUUUAAUACAGCGUCAUCUCUUGGUGAAAGCCUCAAGUGGUUGAGAGACGCUUCUUACUAAGGCCUUCUUACUAAAUUGUUUUAUUCGAUUUCGCUAGAUGGUAGUACUUAUCAAAAAUAGACAGCUAACCGUAUUAAUAAUAAUUAUCAUAUUCGUUUUCUUAAUAUUCUGUAUUAAUAUUAAUAUAGAUUUAUUUUAGUUUAGAACAUUUUUAGUUGUUUUCAAUGCGAGUACCAAAAAAAAUAUUAUGAUAACUACAGGCGUACAAUUAAAUGGGAUUAAUGCAUACAAACAUUUUAUGUGGUACUGUUGGUAUAUUAGUAACAGUUGCAAGGCAUUCUUGACCAUCAGGUGAAUCGUAAAUUCUUUCGCCUUCCCAUCUACUCUCCUAGGAAUAAAGCAAACAUUUACAUAUCAUUAUUACAUAUAAGCAGGAAUAUGUAGGAAAAGGUUUUUAGUGAACGAAGCCGCUAAUUAUAGGGGAUGUUAUACAUAACAUGAAAAUUGAUUUUCGUGUUCAGGACGAAACACUGCUAAAACAUUAGAGGGCUAAGCUCGAUUAUAAUAUAUUUUUUGAAACUCAAUCAUUUCAAUUAUUGAUGCGACUGUUAUUGCGAUAUUUUAUUAUAUGAAACAACUGAUCUUAAUUUUAUAAGAUUUGAAACCUUAGAGAGAGAUUCAAAAAAAAGCAAAAUGUUCAUCAUCUAAAGAUUAAGAUGGCCUAUUUAUUCGUAUUGAACUAUGACGGUAUGUCUAUUAUCAAGUCAUACAGGCAGGUAUUAAUUUUAAUAUAGUAAAAGCUCUUCAUACGCGGGGUAUAUGCUCCGUAAAUAUACCGCGAAUACAGAAACCCUGAAUAUGGAAAAGCGCGCUUACAAAGGAUAUUCAGUUGGAUACUUACAUAUUAGAAUCCUUUUAUCAAUGUGUAUAUACCGUAGUAUCGAUUAGAUCUGCAAAUGAAGAAAUCUUUAGCUGCGAAUAUAGGAAUUGGGUAGCAUUUUUUAAUCCGUGUAUAGUGAAAACGCGAAUGAAGGAAGUGCGAAUAAGGAGUUUUUAGUAUAAUGAAAUACGUGCUUGAUAUACAAGUUCACGAAUGACUUUCAGGAUGUCGGAGAAAUCACUAAUUAAUUGUGCAUUCACAUACUUAAAGUUAAACAUAUAACUGUAUACAUAUAUAGAUUUAGGACAACAUUUUACUCUCGUGUUUCAUAAGUAUUCAUAAAUAUGCUUAAGUAUUCCGUGAUUUUAUUAUAAAACAUUCGAAAUAUAAUAUGUAACUCUAAUAACUCAUAAUUAUUAUAAUUCAUGUAAAAUGUACUAAAACAAUUCAUACAGCUUCGAUUAAUUAAAUUUCUAAAUGUUUUUAAGCUAUAUAUUGUUUUUUUUUCCUAGUCGCUCACAUUGUAUUAUGCCUUUACCGUAGUAUAUUAAGAUAAUAGUAGUAAGUAAAGGUACUGUAGUAUAUUUAUCGAAAUUGACUAGCUGUAAGAUGCUAGGUUAUAAAUGUGGGGGGUUAAAGGAGGGGGGCUCACGUAGGUUGUGGAUGGAGCUCACUGGAGUAGUCGAUGGCGGAGACUCUUCCUCGGCUAAAAUUUCGAUCAAUUUCACUUUCAAAAACGAUUUUUAAGGAACGAAUAAAGUAAGAAAAAAAACACGUGUGGCACUCAAGGACUGCCGCGGUAAAGCUAUUGCAUAGCAUUUUUUAUCAACUUAUGCAAUUAUAAUUAGACAAUGAUAAUUUAAUAUUAAAACAAUAAAAAAUAAGACCACGCUAUAUUUAUAAACAUUAACAAGAGCAAAACAUUAACUAUCCCUUUCACACUCAUAAGCUAGACCGCGCGAGAGAGAGAUGGGCAGACUUUUCAUGAUCCGCAUGCAGUGCGACGUCACGCCGCGAGCAUAUUCACAAACACUACACAAACGCAACGUGUGAAUGUGUUGAUCGCGAGCUACAUGGUAGGCGGAGCGGGUGGUGUUAGGUUUUAUUUUCGUUACGGAAUUUCUUGAUUCGGUCGCCGCGCUCAAAGCCCGCCAUAAAAGCUAUGCAAUAGCUUAAAAACGUAAACUAAACUAAAUUUGAGAAUGGAAGCACUCGUGAAAAGGAAAAUACAUAUCAGCAUUAUUUUAGAAUUACUACUAUUGAUCGAAAAUUUGGUUGAGCCCUAUCCCCCACAAACUCAUCAAAGAGGCUGUUAGUAAUAUAAGGUUUAUAAUAAAUGCGAACAAAAGUUUGUUGUGUAUAAAUCACCUUUAUAUAAUAAACAUAAAUAUUAUUGAGAAUUAUUAACUUCAAUACGGAUUGCACCUCGUCGGAGUUUGUGGAGGAUUUUUGUAGUAGUACUAGCUGUACCCGUCCGCUGGGCAUUUAAAAUUAACAUUAUUAUUUCUCACCCCCACAAAGAUUCUCAUCAUUAACGCCCCCGCAACUAUAUUUAUAUAUUAGUAUAGAUACGAUACAAUUUUGGCUCAUUAACAAUAACAUUAUUUUAUGUGCAGGUAAUUUACAAAAUUUCAGUAACUUGUCUCCUAACAUUGAAGCGAAACCAGCAGAGUACCAAUUCGACCCGUUUGAAGAGCUGUCUCUGUUCUUGAAUCUGUAAAUAAACACUUCGAUGCAAUGAAUCUUCGACUUUAGGAGAGCAUUGUAUAGUUUUUUUUUAAUAUUAAAUUAUUAAAAGCA